UAAAGAGGACCCAGGCUGGAGAGAAGCAAGGGGAACCCAUCUUGUCACAAAGAAGAGUGUCCUUGGCUUUGACCUUGCAGCCCAUAUCAGUGAAUCCAUUUUCCUUCCACCAUAACAAGCAAGCUGCUUCUGGGCUGUGAAAUGAAUCUCUGGGAAGGACACUCUAACAACUGAUGGUCACUGUGCUUUGCUCCAGCUCUUAAGGUUUACACGCCGAACGAUAUACGCGGUGGUUUUUAAUAAGCUGCUGGUUCUGAUAUCUUGAGUAAGCGGAAAAGGACUCCCUCGCUCUUCCCCCGCUCCGUGGAUUUGCUCUCUGUGGCGCGUGACCAUUUGCUGUUCGCCACAGAUGCCAUGGUGAAAAUAAGAAAGCACAGUGUUUGGCAACACAAAAGGUGACAUUGACAUGUUUGAGGAAGACCUAAGGUGCUACAUUUUGUCUCUUUUGCUUCCCUCAUGAAUAUUCAAGAAAUGCCUCCAUAAGAAGGUCAUCACUGUCAUUUAGUUACGAAGAGAAGACGGGAGAGUUGCUUCACAGUUGGAGGUAGCACUUAGAAGAGGUUGAGGUUAGGACCCACAUCAAGGACAGGUCAGAAGAAACACAUCUGAACCAUGGAGAGGAGGAAGAGAGAAAUGCCCUUCAACUGUGUUUCCUUUUCUUCCAGAGGCCAGUUGCCUCACCUGUUGGCACAUGGCACCAAGGUGCUCAGGGGCCCUCUUUACCUUGAAGAAGGUGGACUCAAUCCCUGUUCUACAGCGUGGCCUCCCAUGUGACUGAGAAGUGAGGAGGGCUGCUCUCGACCUCAUCGUGGAGUCGGCUGACCUCACCCCAACAGCCAGGCUCCAGGACUCUCACCACACAUGAAAAAUAAAACCCUGCUUUUAAAGCCAUUGUCGUGGUUCCUGUAACAAGCAGGCAGAAGCCCUUCUUGCUCAUACAGGGGUUUAUAAUUCAUAGGAAAUCUUAGGAGUGUUUGAUGAGAUGGCAAGAAGACAUGAACAGGAACCCACCCAGAAAGUGAGGCUGGGAAGUUAUAUUAUGUCCUCAUCUCAAGCUAUGAAACCACUGAGAGCUUGAGCAAACCAGAAUCACCUCAUCAGCAGAUCCUGGUCAACGCGCUCCCCAGCAUCAUUACAAGGCACGAGCCAACCAUAAUCCGGGUUGGUUUUGGCCUGACGUGCUGUGUCCCUAGAUUGCAAGGACGGGGCAAGGCUUCACAGGUUCCUCUGCAUUUCCUAGGGUAUCGUUCUCUUAAAAGAACCAACGAAGUGAUAGACUGUUCUCGUUAACGCCAUGACAGCGGGGACUGUGCCUGAGGCGUUCACCACUGGACCCCCGACAUCCGGCCCUAAGACAGGCACAGAGGAGACACUAAACGUCAUUCAAAUGGGAUGGAAUUGAAUUACGUUAGCGUCGCCAAUAGAUGUCGGGACCAGGAUUUGACUCACAUAGUCUAUCUAGUUUCAUGGUUUCUGCUAUAAAACACUCUGAUGAACUGCCUCCUAACAUGACAUAGGAUUAAAAAGGACAAUGCAUUGCUGAGGCCUGGAAUCUCCUCCCUGAUUCCUCCCUGCCACCCCAGUGCCCACGUUUCCUUCAAAGUUUAAGACCUGCUUCCUACAUGAAGCCUUCCCAGAUAAAUCCAGUCUCCUUCAUCUCCGAAUGCCUUUCGUGCGUAUUGGGUACUAUGCAUCAUAUGUUCGAGAAACUGUCUUGUAUCAAUUUCUAAAUGCCUUAUAAUGUUAAUCCUUCUUGCUGAGCCAGCUGGUCACAGUCUCACAGAAAUAAUCCCAUCGGAGACUGCUUUUCUGUCUCUCACAGUAUCAGCACGUGAAGUACAGAGUACAUGCUCUAUAAAGAUUAAUUGACCUUCGAUUUGAAAUGGAUGAAAGGGAUGCCUACAAAGGUAUGGGCAAUUAACCUGCGCUCAUUCUCACAGCUAUUAAAUUUUUUAUUAUAGAAUAAGAAUCACGUUCACAAGAGAAUUGUCCAACCUUCACCCUCACAUUUUCUUGGUAAACAACCCCCUCCCCUAGCCCAGCUGACCUUGCCUCCUUUAACUUGCCGAGUUAUUUUGAAUAAGGAGAAGGAUCCUGGUCAGUGUGUGCAGGUCUCAGGAUUAAUACUACAUUUGGCUCUAGUGGCUGAAGGGGCAGCCUCUUAGAUCCCCAGAGUUAUGCUUCGGUGGAGAACCCUUGCCACAGAGAGACCUGCGGGGAGCCUGGGCAUGGCCAAUGGAUAUUGACAGCUUUACUGACAUUUACAAGAGCUGAUUAUUAGUUGAAGAACUUUGCGUAAACAGUCGCCAUUUCAAACCAAUUGAUUUCUGUGAACUUAUAGCACAGGUACUGCUUAUGAAUGUCAAUACUUUUCACUGGUGAUUUCUUUAUUUUGUGGGCCUGACCACUCCUCUGUCUCACUAUGAAGCCCAACCUCUUAUUUUCAGAUGAAGGAAUAAAGGCUCAGAGAGGGACCUGUGACCACACAGCUGAUUGAUUUUCAUGCCAGAUCUUAACCCAUCUCGCCCUACAAUAACACUGUCCUAUAGAAACUU